GAAGAAUCCUGGAAUGCUUUAACAGCUAAACUAUGGACUGCAUCAUUACAAAAUCUUCUAACAAAAUUGAAAGAGAUAUGCCUAAACCCUGAGGACAGCUGAGAAAUAUCCUCAAUUACUCCUUUAAUGUCAGCAUGAGGUGGGAGGCCCCUAACGGAUUGAAUGACCUGAAGAGCAUCACCUUCUACAACAAUAUCAUCCAUACCUUUUGAUUGAGCUGGUAGCAAGGCCUCACAACAAGCCAAUACCUGGAUAACUAAAGGGUCUGUAUGUUGGGAAUUUAAGUCCCACGUUGGGAACGGCGAAUGUAAGUGAUUGGGUUGCAAUAUUGA
rnacentral:misc_RNA from 1 species